UAGGGAAUCUUCCACAAUGGACGAAAGUCUGAUGGAGCAACGCCGCGUGCAGGAUGAAUGCCUUCGGGUUGUAAACUGCUUUUAUCUGUGACGAUUAUGACGGUAGCAGAUGAAUAAGGAUCGGCUAACUCCGUGCCAGCAGCCGCGGUCAUACGGAGGAUCCAAGCGUUAUCCGGAAUUACUGGGCGUAAAGAGUUGCGUAGGUGGCACUGUAAGUUGUUAGUGAAAGCGUCCGGCUCAACCGGAUAAACAUUACCAAAACUGCAGAGCUAGAGGAUGAGAGAGGUUAUUGGAAUUCCUAGUGUAGGAGUGAAAUCCGUAGAUAUUAGGAGGAACACCGAUGGCGUAGGCAGAUAACUGGCUCAUUCCUGACACUAAGGCACGAAAGCAUGGGUAGCAAACGGGAUUAGAUACCCCUGUAGUCC
rnacentral:rRNA from 1 species